CGUCUCCCUAAAUCUGAGCUGCGCUCCUCCUUCUCUCUAAACCAUCAGUAAAUAAAACGUAGAUCGCGUAUGUAGAUGUACGGUUCUACCACUACUUUCUACUUUGCGAUUUCUGAAAUUGUUUCCCCUCAAAAUUCCAAUCUGAAAUUUGUGUUUAUCGGCGGCAGAUCUGUUGAUUCAAUGAACAGAUCUUUAAAUAAAGGUGUCAAAAACUGAUCUAUACCGUCUUCUAUCACUGACCGGUAUUGCUGUGUUAAAGAUAAGUCGAUUCUUCAUUAUAUUUUAAUUUUUUAAAUAUGUAUUUUCAUUUUUUUUUUUUGCAAUUUUGUGUUUAUUUCGUAGGUUUGUAUUACAAAAAUAAUAUAAUGCCUACAAAUUGGCAAUUUUUGUUAUCGGUUAGGUCAAAUUCUGACAAAAUAGUAGCUAGAUGUAAAAUUGUAUUACUUCAUUUUAUUCGUAUAUAUGUGUUAGUGAAUUCUGCAUGCAUCAUUCUCAUAUAUAUAAUAAUAAU